rnacentral:lncRNA from 1 species
UGUGAUUGCUUUGGGCUCAGAAAGAGAAUGAAAGGAUCCUAUAAAGCACCCAUACUGCAGCAGAGCCAGACUGCAAAGAUCGGGACCUCCCGUUGCAGAUACAGUGUGAAGACCCCGGGAAAGACAGCAUCAACCCAGAAGACUGCACAGCUCAGACUAGUGCAGCAGGUGGAAAAGGGCUGCAAGGAGGAACAAAUGGAGGCCCAAGAGUUGUACCUCAACAACAGGAAAACUAAAGAAUGUGAAUACCGCAAUCCCUGUGCUUCCUAAUUGGACGUAUAGACAUCUACAUCAAGAGCUGCUUGGUCAAAGCCCGUUCAGAAGUAUGAAGCUAAUAUUUACAGUGAUAGUCAAAAAGCAACAACAACAACAACAACAAACACACUGAAGAAACAACACAUGAGCUAAAAGCAAGAUAGCAACUUCCCUCUUUUUAAACUAGUCUGUACCCUCCCGAUAUUCUCAGCAGACUGCUUUUCAGCACAGAAAUCACUUCUUGACACUUAAGCAUACAGAUCUGUUAGCAGUUUUAAAUCUAUUUUAGUAUGGGAACAUUUGCAGAAUAUGUAUAUAUAUAUAUAUAUAAAUAUAUGUAUACCUAUGUACACAUAUGUGCACAAAUACAAGCACAUAUAAAACCUUUUCCAAAUGCCUGUAAUAAACAAAUUGCUCUAUGUCCA